CUGCAAAAGCCAACGUUGGUGCUGGCAAAAAGAAGGUAACGUGUUUUGAGACGCUACAUGAUGUAGUAUAACACCUCACUAGAGUAGCUUUGCCCACUCUAUCAGCUCACAGAUCAGCACAACACAGGGGCCACAUCGGUUCAGUGAUCCUAGUGGGCACCUUGGAAGCCCUGUCAGGAAAAGUGUUCAUUUUACUGCAAAUUGGUUUGGACUGUUAAAGGGGAAGAUUAAACUUACUUGUUUAAAACAGAUAACUUGUUUAAGAAGCAGUUGAAUCAAUGUGGCCCAUGUUUCCCUGGCAUGCUGGAGAGGCAGUUGGGAUCUCACUUGCUUUCCUCUCCAGUUAGCCAAGAUUUAAGUGAUUUUAAUGAUAAGCAGCUUUUUACCAGCUUUGCUAGCUAACUGUAAAUAAUAGUUGAAUGAAAUUAAGGUGUUGGGUUGUUAAAUUAACAAAUAAUCAAGUGUUCUGUGAACUUUUUUUUUUUUUUUUUUUGCCUUUUCCCCUCUACUUUCUUGGAUUUCUUGUU